rnacentral:rRNA from 1 species
CACACUUUCAGCAACGGAUGUCUGGGUUCCCACAACGAUGAAGAACGCAGCGAAAUGCGAUACGUAAUGCGAAUUGCAUAGAUAGCGAGUCAUCAAAACUUUGAACGCACCUUGCACUUC